GAUGAACGCUGGCGGCGUGCCUAAUACAUGCAAGUCGAGCGAACAGAUGAGGAGCUUGCUCCUCUGACGUUAGCGGCGGACGGGUGAGUAACACGUGGAUACCCUCCCUAUAAGACUGGGAUAACUUCGGGAAACCGGAGCUAAUACCGGAUAAUAUAUUGAACCGCAUGGUUCAAUAGUGAAAGACGGUUUUGCUGUCACUUAUAGAUGGAUCCGCGCCGCAUUAGCUAGUUGGUAAGGUAACGGCUUACCAAGGCAACGAUGCGUAGCCGACCUGAGAGGGUGAUCGGCCACACUGGAACUGAGACACGGUCCAGACUCCUACGGGAGGCAGCAGUAGGGAAUCUUCCGCAAUGGGCGAAAGCCUGACGGAGCAACGCCGCGUGAGUGAUGAAGGUCUUCGGAUCGUAAAACUCUGUUAGUAGGGAAGAACAAAUGUGUAAGUAACUAUGCACGUCUUGACGGUACCUAAUCAGAAAGCCACGGCUAACUACGUG
rnacentral:rRNA from 1 species